rnacentral:rRNA from 1 species
CACGAACCGGACAAACGUUAUUCGGAAUCACUGGGCUUAAAGGGUGCGUAGGCGGCCUGACAAGUUGGGUGUGAAAUCCCUCGGCUCAACCGAGGAAUAGCGCUCAAAACUGUUGGGCUAGAGGGAGUUAGAGGUAAGCGGAACUUAGGGUGGAGCGGUGAAAUGCGUUGAUAUCCUAAGGAACACCAGUGGCGAAAGCGGCUUACUGGAGCUCUUCUGACGCUGAGGCACGAAAGCUAGGGGAGCGAACGGGAUUAGAUACCCUAGUAGU